rnacentral:tRNA from 1 species
GGUGGCUCAGUGGUAGAGUUCUUGCCUUGCAUGUAUGAAGCCCUGGGUUCGAUUCCUCAGCACCA